GACGAACGCUGGCGGCGUGCUUAACACAUGCAAGUCGAACGGAAAGGCCCUGCUUUUGUGGGGUGCUCGAGUGGCGAACGUGUGAGUAACACGUGAGUAACCUGCCCUUGACUUUGGGAUAACUUCAGGAAACUGGGGCUAAUACCGGAUAGGAGCUCCUGCUGCAUGGUGGGGGUUGGAAAGUUUCGGCGGUUGGGGAUGGACUCGCGGCUUAUCAGCUUGUUGGUGGGGUAGUGGCUUACCAAGGCUUUGACGGGUAGCCGGCCUGAGAGGGUGAACGGCCACAUGGGGACUGAGAUAGGGCCCAGACUCCUACGGGAGGCAGCGGUGGGGAAUAUUGCACAAUGGGCGGAAGCCUGAUGCAGCAACGCCGUGUGUGGGAUGACGGCUUUGGGGUUGUAAACCGCUUUCGCUUGUGACGAAGCGUGAGUGACGGUAAUGGGUAAAGAAGCACCGGCUAACUACGUG
rnacentral:rRNA from 1 species